CUGACGAGGACGGCAAGGUCGAUUAAGGUGACUUGGAAAUGUAAUUAAUACAACUGCCAUGAAAAUAUUUACACUGGAAUGUGCCCAGUCAGAGACGCGUCGACAAUCGAUUCUCAACUUCUGUUAAUGUGAACCUCGCUUAUGUGAAUAUCUUGGCUGGUAAAGAAACUACGUAAACUUCAUCGUUAUCAAAGAUGAAACAUGUGAAGUAAUAUUGAGCGUCGAAAAAUGUCUGGUAUACCAUGGGAAAGCGAGGAAAGACAAAACUACAUUCGAGCAGACUACAUUGUCAGUGAUGUCGUAAGGGAGGAAUUGAGACGUUUCUUUAUUCAGGAAUGGAACAAACUUUACCAGGCUUCUCUUGGAGCAUGGGAUGACACAAACGUAAGUGGUAGUCAGUUGUUUAAUCUCGAGCAAUUACGAGCAAGACCAAAUAAAGCAACGCUUCAGUCCAAAUUUAAUCACGGAGAUACAAAUGAGUGGGAUUGUACUGUACUUUUUGAUGCAAUUCUUUAUUCCAAAUCGAUUGGUGCAACCCUUAA